rnacentral:rRNA from 1 species
GACGAACGCUGGCGGCGUGCUUAACACAUGCAAGUCGAACGAAGUGGCGAACGGGUGAGUAACGCGUAAUCAACCUGCCCUUCAGAGGGGGACCACAGUUGGAAAUGACUGCUAAUACCGCAUACAGAAGGAGGGGAUUGCGUCUGAGUAGCUAGUUGUAGGGUGAACGGCCCACCAAGGCGAUGAUAAGUCGCAGGGCUGAGAGGCUGAACGGCCACAUUGGUACUGAGACACGGCCCAGACGCCUACGGGAGGCAGCAGUGGGGAAUCUGCCGAAAUGGACGAAAGUCUGACGGAGCAACGCCGCGUGAGUGAUGACGGCCUUCGGGUUGUAAAGCUCUGUUAAUCGGGACGCGGUACCGGAAUAGAAAGCCACGGCUAACUACGUGCCAGCAGCCGCGGUAAUAC